AUUCAGCUGACGAGUCCUAAAUAGGACGGAACCCGCGCCAAACUGGAU
rfam:Schistosoma mansoni strain Puerto Rico chromosome 2, complete genome